rnacentral:rRNA from 1 species
UACGGAGGGUGCAAGCGUUAUCCGGAUUCACUGGGUUUAAAGGGUGCGUAGGCGGGUUGGUAAGUCCGUGGUGAAAUCCCCAAGCUUAACUUGGGAACUGCCGUGGAUACUAUCAAUCUUGAAUAUCGUGGAGGUAAGCGGAAUAUGCCAUGUAGCGGUGAAAUGCUUAGAUAUGACAUAGAACACCAAUUGCGUAGGCAGCUUACUACACGAUCAUUGACACUGAGGCACGAAAGCGUGGGGAGCAAACAGG